UUAGUGGCGGACGGGUGAGUAACGCGUGGAUAACCUGCCGUAUACCGGGGGAUAACACUUAGAAAUAGGUGCUAAUACCGCAUAAGCGCACGGCUCCGCAUGGGGCAAGUGUGAAAAACUCCCGGUGGUAUACGAUGGAUCCGCGUCUGAUUAGCUAGUUGGCGGGGUAACGGCCCACCAAGGCAGCGAUCAGUAGCCGGCCUGAGAGGGUGGACCGGCCACAUUGGGACUGAGACACGGCCCAAACUCCUACGGAAGGCAGCAG
rnacentral:rRNA from 1 species